UACGUAGGAGGCAAGCGUUGUCCGGAGUUACUGGGCGUAAAGGGCCCGCAGGCGGUGGAGUAAGUUUGGAGUGACAGUUCCCAGCCUAACCGGGAAAGGACUUCGAAAACUGCUCGACUUGAGGACUGGAGAGGAAGGCGGAAUUCCGGGUGGAGCGGUGAAAUGCGUAGAGAUCCGGAGGAACACCGACGGCGAAGGCAGCCUUCUGGAAAGUACCUGACGCUGAGGGGCGAAAGCUAGGGGAGCGAACGGG
rnacentral:rRNA from 1 species